UGCAGAGGUCUCAACCGUUGUUCGGACUCAUUGGGCGUAAAGGGUGCGUAGGCGGGUCUUUAAGUCAGGGGUGAAAUCCUGGAGCUCAACUCCAGAACUGCCUUUGAUACUGAAGAUCUUGAGUUCGGGAGAGGUGAGUGGAACUGCGAGUGUAGAGGUGAAAUUCGUAGAUAUUCGCAAGAACACCAGUGGCGAAGGCGGCUCACUGGCCCGAUACUGACGCUGAGGCACGAAAGCGUGGGGAGCAAACAGG
rnacentral:rRNA from 1 species